rnacentral:snRNA from 13 species
GGUUCAAUUACCCAAGUUUGAGGUAAAACUCGGGAUUGGGUUGGAAUAAAUGGGAUGAAAACCCCAUAUUCUGAAUCCUCUCUAGGGCUUCCAUUUUGGGGAGAAU